rnacentral:lncRNA from 1 species
UAAUAUAAAAAAUGUGCACUUCACCCCCUACAGUUAGGGUUCCGUUAAAAAAUAUAUUUUUAUGCCGAAAAUACCCCUCCGCCAUCUCCCUGUUGCUUCGCCUCCCUCCGGCUCGCCACCUCGCCGCCGCCUCGCCGCCUAGCCGCCUCGCCGCCUCGCCGUCCUCCACUGCCUCGCCCUCACCCACAUCCCCUUCGCCGUCCUCCGCCGCCUCGCCUUCGCCUUCUUUGCCCUUCUCCUACUGUCGCCCACCUCGGUUUUCUCCUACUGUCGCCCACCUCAGUUUUCUCCUACUGUUGCCGAAAUCGAGGGCGUCGAGGGUGCAGGAGGAGAAGGGGAGCAGGUGGAGAAGAAAAUGGAGAGAAAUCGCGGCCAAUUGAGGUGGGAAUCGCGGCCGUGCGAAGGGGCGGCUGAGGAAGAUGGGGAAGAAGACGACAAUGGCGAGGGGCAAAAUGGUCAUUUUACACACCGUAACCCCCCCUAUGAACAUUUUUCAUUUUACAAGGGGGGCAAAGUGUAGGUUUUUAAAUGUCAGGGGGGGAAAGUGAAAAAGCGGGUUAUUACAGGAGAAUUUUCUGUAAUUUGGCCUUUUCUUUAAGUGGAUUCCUCCCGCCCUAAACACUGCCAUUUGGAUUCAAAUUCUCAAUUAAAAUUAAAAUUAAAAUUUUAAAUUAAUAAUUUGAAUUUAAAUAUACAAUUUUAAACUGAAUUAGAAAUUUGAAUUGAA